UGGGGAAUUUUGGACAAUGGGCGCAAGCCUGAUCCAGCAAUGCCGCGUGCAGGAUGAAGGCCUUCGGGUUGUAAACUGCUUUUGUACGGAACGAAAAAGCUCUCUCUAAUACAGGGGGUGAAUGACGGUACCGUAAGAAUAAGCACCGGCUAACUACGUGCCAGCAGCCGCGGUAAUACGUAGGGUGCAAGCGUUAAUCGGACUUACUGGGCGUAAAGCAUGCGCAGGCGGUUUUGUAAGACAGAGGUGAAAUCCCCGGGCUCAACCUGGGAACUGCCUUUGUGACUGCAAAGCUGGAGUGAGGCAGAGGGGGAUGGAAUUCCGCGUGUAGCAGUGAAAUGCGUAGAUAUGCGGAGGAACACCGAUGGCGAAGGCAAUCCCCUGGGCCUGCACCGACGCUCAUGCACGAAAGCGUGGGGAGCAAACA
rnacentral:rRNA from 1 species